rnacentral:rRNA from 1 species
AGUGCCGUUGAAACCGUUUCUCUUGAGUGCGGAUGAGGUAGGCGGAAUUUGUGGUGUAGCGGUGAAAUGCGUAGAUAUCACAAGGAACACCGAUUGCGGAGGCAGCUUACUAAACCGUUACUGACGCUCAUGCACGAAGGCGUGGGGAUCAAACAGGAUUAGAUACCCUGGUAGUCCACGCAGUAAACGAUGAUUACUUGCUGUUUGCGAUACACAGUAAGCGGCGUAGCGAAAGCGUUAAGUAAUCCACCUGGGGAGUACGUUCGCAAGAAUGAAACUCAAAGGAAUUGACGGGGGCCCGCACAAGCGGAGGAACAUGUGGUUUAAUUCGAUGAUACGCGAGGAACCUUACCCGGGCUUGAAAUGCAUUCGACGGGGUCGGAAACGGCCUUUCCCUUCGGGGCGGAUGCGUAGGUGCUGCAUGGUUGUCGUCAGCUCGUGCCGUGAGGUGUCGGCUUAAGUGCCAUAACGAGCGCAACCCCUGUCGUCAGUUGCCAUCGGUAUAAGCCGGGGACUCUGGCGAGACUGCCAUCGUAAGAUGCGAGGAAGGUGGGGAUGACGUCAAAUCAGCACGGCCCUUAUGUCCGGGGCGACACACGUGUUACAAUGGGCGGUACAGCGGGAAGCUACCCGGCGACGGGGAGCCGAUCCCGAAAUCCGCUCACAGUUCGGAUCGGAGUCUGCAACUCGACUCCGUGAAGUCGGAUUCGCUAGUAAUCGCGCAUCAGCCACGGCGCGGUGAAUACGUUCCCGGGCCUUGUACACACCGCCCGUCAAGCCAUGGAAGUCGGGGGUACCUGAAGUUCGUAACCCUUCGGGGAGCGACCCAGGGUAAAACCGGUGACUGGGGCUAAGUCGUAACAAGGUAGCCGUACCGGAAGGUGCGGCUG